CAUGUACCAUCGGCUAUAAACGAAAAUCUGGCUAAGUGCGCUGGUACACAGUUGUGACCAAACCUCAAUCUAUUGAUGGUGGUAAUAAAGCUACGACUUCCCGUCUUAAUCUUCUCAUACCAAGGCUUUCCAGGGCUUCAAAUACAGCAUAUGCUUCAGCCGUAAAUAUGGAACAUACAUCAUACAACCUAAAGCUCUGUACAAAUUUAGUUUGAGGAUUAUACACUGCACUUCGAACAUAAAAAUCUGCUUUACUACCAUCGGUGUAUAAUUUGUAAUUAUCGGGAAUUUGUGACAAGAAAUAUAGAAAAUCAGUAUUAUUAUUGAUAAAUUUUGUGCAUACUGUAAUACUUAAAAGUUUACUAUCAAAGCUAUCUUCAUAACAUGGCCAAAUUUCAUUUUUAUAUAUAUUACAAAACUUAGCUUCCACCUGUAAGAUUAGUGCUGUUAACUUGGGGAUUCUGGGAUGACCCUUUAUUCUUCUAAUUACACUUUGAUUAUUUUUAGCAUAUAUCUUAAUUAAAUAUCUAUAAGCUAACAACAUCCAUCUGACAGGUAAAGGCAUUGUUUUAGUCUCUACUUCCAUUGCUCUUAUUGGGGUUGAACACAUUGCCCCUGAUAUUAUUCGUAUAGCCUUAUUUUGAAUUAUUUCUAAUUUAUGUGUGUGAACAGUAUUCAUAUGUACAAGAAAACUAUAGUCAAAGUGACUUCUGACAAGGGUUUUAUACAGUAAGGACAGUACUUGAGGAUCAGCACCCCAAGAUAUACCGGCAAGACAUCUCAUAACAUUUAAACCUCUAACAGAAUUUGAAAUUUUGUGCUUAGCAUAGCGUAGGUCAAAAUUUAAAUGAUUAUCUAUGACUACACCUAGAAACUUAUGAGAAGGGACUUCUCUAAUAAUCUCAUUAUUAUAUACAAUGUGUAUUAUGUGUACAUUUGUUGUGUCCUUGCUCAAUAUUAGUAACUUGCUUUUGUCAGGAUUUAUCUUUAAGUGUAAGUAAUUAUUGUAAUAAACAUAGAGUUCAUUUAGUGCAUUAUUAAUAUGUGCUUUAGCUACAUCUAAAUUUGAAUUAAUAGAAUAUAUUACAAGAUUAUCUGCAAAUUGCAGUAUAUUAACAUUAGAACUAUUUACAAAUGAGUUAAUAUCACUAGUAUACAAAUUAUACAGAAGAGGAGACAGCGUUGCCCCUUGCAUUGUGCCUUUGAAAACUUGUCGUGGUCCAUGUAGCAUGUUAUUAAAUUUUACAUAUAGCUCUCUAUUGUCCAAAAAAUUAAAUAUCCACUUGCAUAGUUUCCCAGGGAUAUUAAAAUUAGAUAGAAUUUUUACAAGUAUUGCGGGAUCAACAUUGUCAAAUGCUCCUUGUACAUCUAAAAAUAUACAAACAGCAUGUGACUUGUUAUAGUUAGCUAAUUUUAAAUCCGAUAUAAGAGAUAUGAAGCUGUCAGAACAGCUUCUACCUCGUCGAAAGCCAUUUUGAAAUGGAGGCAAUAUGUUAUUUGCCUCAACAUACCAAUCGAGUCUAGUUUUUAUCAUAUUCUCAAUAACUUUACCAAUACAUGAUGAUAGAGAAAUCGGUCUAUAAGAAUUGACCUCAUUAGGAGGUUUGUCUGGUUUUAAAAUAGGUAUUACACAUUGUGUUUUCCAUGAUAGAGGUAUUUUCUCUUGUAACCAAAGUAAAUUCAUAAUUCUGAGCAAAACUUUUUGACCAUUAACAUGCAUACAUACAUACAUACAUAUAAUCACGCCUAUUUCCCGAACGGGUAGGCAGAGACCACGGAUUUCCACUUGCUACGAUCCUGACAUACCUCUUUCGCUUCCUUCACUUUCAUGACAUUCCUCAUACACGCUCGCCGGUUUAGGGUGCUCUUGACCUGGCCUUUCUUUAGGAUUUCCCCGAUUUGAUCAGAGAAAGUCCGCCGAGGUCUACCCCUUCCAGCUCCCUCUUCUACUUCUCCCUUAUACACUCUCUUUGUUAACCUUCUUUCACUCAUUCUUUCCACGUGUCCAAACCAUCUCAACAUACCUUUCUCAAUUUUUGUCACUACAUCUUCGUUCAGUCCAGCAUUAACAUGCAGUUUCUUUAAAAGCAAGUAUGGUAUAUCAUCUAAUCCUGGGGUAGUAUUGAAGAAUGUUUUAAGUUUCCAAAGGCAACAUUCGAUAUAAUUUUCAUACAAUUUAAAUAUACGAUACACAAAUAAUCGUAAAUAACGAUACAUAGGUAAUAAUAGUAUUUACAAUUGUUUCUGUCUUAUAGAACAUGCAUAAAAAAGUACUUGUUAUUGUUUCGCAACUGUAUUAAAAAACGUCAUUCGAUACACGUGCCGAAAUGUACUAUUUCCUACGUACCUUUGAAUUUGGUAAGUACUUUAACACUUUUCAGUAAAUAGGUACAUAGACAGAUAGAUAGAUAGAAUACUCUUUAGUUACGUUUGAUGUAUUUAUAACAUUAUCAUUAGUAGUAGAUACCAGUAUGGAUGACUACUUACUUACCUAUAAGUGUUGGAUAUGUACAGUUGUGUGCAAUAUAAUAGCACAGUUACACUCUGCGACGAAGAUCGUCUUAUAGAAAAGUUUAUUUUUUUCUGGAUGACUUGGGUUUAGAUGUAAAGCUUUGAUUGGAAAUAAUAGGAAAGAUUCUAAAUUACAAUUAUAGUACACAAUUGUAUUUUUUUCGUAUGGUUUUACUUUUCCGCAACUUAGUAAAAACAGCCGAUUUUCAUGAUAUUUUUUUUUUACUUCCAAUAUCAUUUAAGUAAAGGUUACAGUUAAUUUUGAAACAAUAUCAAGUAAUGCAGAAUAAUUAUAUAAAAAGAUACAAUAUCAUUAAUCUAAAGUUAUAGUUUUCCCUUAAUUUACAUUUUCUUAUGUACUGCUAUUAUAUUGCACACAACUGUACCUACACAUAAACUAUAAGUAGGUACGUUACGUCCGUUAGAGGAAGUCCUUCAACAAAAUAAACCAGCUUUUGAAGUAGACCGCGAGCCAGGAGCAUAUAUCGUCAGUCAUCGCCUGCCGGCUGAUACUUUGUCUUAGAUGCUAUUAUGAAUU